CUCACUUUGACGGGGCAUAUUCUAAAGUUGGGACAAUACAGAGAAGAUUAGCAUGGACAAGGAUGAUAUGCAUAUUCGUGAAGUGUUCUAUGUUUUU
rnacentral:snRNA from 1 species